UACGUAGGUGGCGAGCGUUAUCCGGAUUUAUUGGGCGUAAAGCGUGCGCAGGCGGUUUGUUAAGUCUAAAAUUAAAGCCCGAAGCUUAACUUCGGUUCGUUUUAGAAACUGGCAGACUUGAGUAUGGUAGAGGCAAAUGGAAUUUCUAGUGUAGCGGUAAAAUGCGUAGAUAUUAGAAGGAACACCAGUGGCGAAGGCGAUUUGCUGGGCCAUUACUGACGCUCAUGCACGAAAGCGUGGGGAGCAAACAGG
rnacentral:rRNA from 1 species